rnacentral:rRNA from 1 species
CGACCGGCGCACGGGUGAGUAACACGUAUGCAACCUGGCCGUGACAGAUGGAUAACCGGGAGAAAUCCCGCCUAAUACAACAUAAUGCCGGGAGGGGACAUCCCCUGCCGGCCAAAGGGGGCGACCCCGGUCACAGAUGGGCAUGCGGCGCAUUAGGUAGUUGGUGGGGCAACGGCCCACCAAGCCGACGAUGCGUAGGGGUUCUGAGAGGAAGGUCCCCCACAUUGGAACUGAGACACGGACCAGACUCCUACGGAAGGCAGCAG